UACGAAGGGGACUAGCGUUGUUCGGGAAUUACUGGGCGAAAGCGCACGUAGGCGGAUUGUAAGUCAGGGGUGAAAUCCCGGGGCUCAACCUCGGAACUGCCUUUGAUACUGCAAGUCUCGAGUCCGAUAGAGGUGGGUGGGAAUUCCUAGUGUAGAGGUGAAAAUUCGUAGAUAUUAGGAAGAACACCGGUGGCGAAGGCGGCCCACUGGAUCGGUACUGACGCUGAGGUGCGAAAGCGUGGGGAGCAAACAGG
rnacentral:rRNA from 1 species